GGGGCCGUAUUUGGUUUCGACGGGGAUGCGAAGGGGCAGAGAAGCGAGCGGCGGCCCUGAACCGCCUAAAAACGGGAAACUUAAAUGAACUGACGAAUCUAAUUUCGUUCCUGUCGCCGCUUAAUCGGCGAUCGUCGAACCUGAGCGUCCUGCCGCGCAGAUCAUCGGCGUCGUAAAAGCAGGGAACCAGCCGCCAUAAGCUUUGCCGGCGGUGGGAUUUAUGAAGCUACUGAUGCCGCAAUCCCGUCUGUGGGAGUUCGGCGGAGGGAAUGUCAAAACGCAGACUGCGCUCGGAGAUGCUCUGAUUCUUUGGUCUUCGGACAGGGGUUCGACUCCCCUCGGCUCCACCA
rnacentral:tmRNA from 1 species